UCACUUCCACCAGCAAACGUCUGGAAAGUUGCCCACAGAAUGAGAGGGAAUUGCUCAUUUCUGUUCUAGGGUUGGUUUGCGAAGCCUGUUGCAACCACCGGAUUUGGGGCACUUCACGGGAGAGAACAAGAACAAGAACAAGAGAACAAGUCCAUGGGCUAGCAGAGGCAGAGGGAGGGCGAAGAAGGCGUCCAGAAGAAGGAAAGCAAAACCUAAGCUCAGGGACGCCGCAGGAUCAUACCGCUGCCACGGAACUCCAGUGAUCCAGGUUCCAUCCUGGCCUCAGGUACUGUCCGCUUGGAGUUUCCUGGAGUCCAGUCCUAGGUAUUGACCAGCAACACCGCAAGAGGUCAGUGAGAUUCUGCAUGAAGUGGCCUCGAAAAAAAUCAUAAUCAGCUUCUUCCUUGGCGUUUUCUGGCACCGUAGAUUUGACUUCCAACCCUUAUAUGGAGAAUCGACAUGAGCGACCACUGUCAUUCUAAGUCAAGAUUGGCAUUCUUUGCCUUUUCAUACCCAGUGAAUAAAAUUAAAUCCUUUUUAAAAACAGAAUUCAAAUUCGUUCAAUUAAACACCCUGACAUCAAAGUCAUCUCUGGAUCAUUAAAGGUAAAACUUUGCAAGUUUUCUGUUUCACUUUCCUCCAUUAUAAUUCCUCAUUUAACAUUUAGCAUGAAAACUGUCAACAUAAACUUGUCACAUUGUAA